UACUUCUUAUCUGUUUUCGAGGAGUCCGGGGGUAUCCGUCUUUGUGCCUGCCGGUGAUUUGUCCCCUCCCCUUAGUACGGACACCGGGAGUCGGGGAGGGCUAUUCCUGCCCCAGGGCGAGAGUAGAGGUGAGAGUGGACCGCGAGCCGGCGCGCCUGGGGAACAGGUGUGAGGGCGGCGUCGGGGCUGCCCGGCGCGGGGAGGGGCCGUCGUAGGGGAAGACGAGAGGGGAAAUUCCGCGGGACCUGCGGGGAGCGGUGUGUGGGCUGAGUUGUGUCUGCCUCUGAUUGUGUGUGUCUGUGUGUGUUCAGGGAGGCGGGGGCUGAGUCAGUGGGAAUAGGGGAAGGUUUUCUCGGUGACUCACGCUCCCCCACCUCAAGCCUGAAUCAGACCCCGAGGGAGGGCUUUGUAACAGGAGGAGGGUGGGCAGUCAGGCGUCUGGGUCCUGAGUGGGGACAGGGAUCCGAAGUAGUUGGCCAGGGUGAGUGUCUAGUGUACAGGAAGUUUUUGUCCUCGAGUGAGGGCUGCCGUAUUCCGCGUACCGGCGUAGGGGUUUGUGGAUAGAGGUGGAAAGGGGCUGGAAGACGGGACUCGAAUGGUUUAGGGAAAGCUGAGUCAGUUCCCCGUGGGAAAGGGGAAGUGGUAGAGGGGAAGUGUCAUCAUCGCAGAAGGGGAAGCUGCAUUUCCUGGUAACUGGCAGCGCCCUAGGCACCACUUCCCAAGUGAGGAUCUGUUCCUCUGGUGCCUGGACCCCUAGUUUCCCCAUGUCCGGUCCAUGGGCCCCAGGACUUUGGUGGGGUAGGCGGCCAGGGCUACCUUUGAUCGCACUUAAGCGCCGUACUUGGCCCAGGGUUUGGUAACUGACAGAAAGGCUGUUCGGUGAGGAGAGUGAAUUCUGACCGAAACUCCGCGUCGACCGCAGAGAGGGUCCGCAGAGCCCAAGCGCCUACCAGGGCUCGCCGGGGAGUGGCACGCUGGGAGCUGUAGGGUCCGAGCGAUUGCGUGCAAACGGACGACCUUGCCCUGCGGGGAGAGGACUGUUUUCACCAGAAACCCGCCUGCCCUUGUGGGCUGGGUGGAAAUUUCCCCACAGCGCAGACUCCUCUAGGCGAAGGCGAACUUUCCAGCCGCCCCCAGCCCCUGGUCGCGCGCUCUCCCCCGGCUUCCUGCCCGGCGCUAGCUCCAGCUGGAGCGCUGGCCCCGCCCCCGCCGCUUUGUAUUCUACUCUCGCCUCUCGCAGCUCUUUGUACUCUAGACUCUCAAUGGACAGAUCCCGGGAGCGGAGCCGGCUUCCUACCUGCCGGGACGCUGGGCUGUUACUGAGGCGGAGACACAUGUGAUGAUUGGCUUUCUGGGGAAAGAGAAAGUCCUGUGAUUGGUCAGGUCUCCGGAGCUCGUCAACGCCGGGAGAGGACGCUCCCACGGAGGCCGGGUAAGCGGCCGCGGUGGUGCAGUCAGUCCCUGUGGCUCCCGGCUGGAGGCCAUCCCCUUCGCACCAACUGGUCCUCCUGCUCCCCCUAGUCUCCUGGACCUCCGGGGGCACUUUAGGCCGGGUGGGCCGCCCCCCAGGGAUAGCCAAGGACUGCCUCCCUGCGCAGAUGACAGACUUGUGGGGGCCACAGCCAGGCCAGCCCAGCCUGCGACCCUCUGUAGGCUGGCCUGCUCACCUCACUCCUUUCCCCUUUCUCCAUAGAAUUGGCUGCGAAAG
ensembl:lncRNA